GGAACAGGGGACCAGGACUAGAACCACGGCAGCCACACAUAUGAAUGCCAACAGCAGUCGCUCUCAUAUGCUCAUUAUUCUCCAGCUAAAACAGAUCUUCUCCAAAGAGAGUAUCACGAAGCAGUCCAAUGUUAACCUGGUGGACUUGGCCGGCAGUGAACGGCAGCGGUCAUCUGGGUCAGAAGCUGACAGGCUCAAAGAGGGCACAGCCAUCAACCUGAGCCUCACCACCCUGGGCAACGUCAUCAGGUUGGUCCUCUGUUUGAUCCUAUGAAAUGAAACUCGGGGUUUCAGCAUAGUUCACACUCUUUGUUGUUCCUCCAGUGCUCUGGCUGACCUGGCGGUGGGAAAGAAGGUUGUCCACAUUCCUUACAGAGACUCAGUCCUUACUAAGCUGUUGCAGUCCGCACUGGGAGGCAACAGUCGGACUGUCAUGAUUGCUACUUUGAGCCCAGCUGAUAUUUGCUAUGAUGAGUCCCUCUCCACCCUGCGCUAUGCAGAGAG